GGAUGAACGCUGGCGGCGUGCCUAAUACAUGCAAGUCGAGCGAACAGAUGAGGAGCUUGCUCCUCUGACGUUCGCGGCGGACGGGUGAGUAACACGUGGAUAACCUACCUAUAAGACUGGGAUAACUUCGGGAAACCGGAGCUAAUACCGGAUAAUAUAUUGAACCGCAUGGUUCAAUAGUGAAAGACGGUUUUGCUGUCACUUAUAAAUGGAUCCGCGCCGCAUUAGCUAGUUGGUAAGGUAACGGCUUACCAAGGCAACGAUGCGUAGCCGACCUGAGAGGGUGAUCGGCCACACUGGAACUGAGACACGGUCCAGACUCCUACGGGAGGCAGCAGUAGGGAAUCUUCCGCAAUGGGCGAAAGCCUGACGGAGCAACGCCGCGUGAGUGAUGAAGGUCUUCGGAUCGUAAAACUCUGUUAUUAGGGAAGAACAAAUGUGUAAGUAACUAUGCACGUCUUGACGGUACCUAAUCAGAAAGCCACGGCUAACUACGUG
rnacentral:rRNA from 1 species